rnacentral:rRNA from 1 species
UUAAGCGACUAAGCGUACACGGUGGAUGCCCUGGCAGUCAGAGGCGAUGAAGGACGUGCUAAUCUGCGAAAAGCGCCGGCGAGGUGAUAUGAACCCUUGACCCGGCGAUGUCCGAAUGGGGAAACCCAGUGCAAUCCGUUGCACUAUCGUUAACUGAAUACAUAGGUUAACGAGGCGAACCGGGGGAACUGAAACAUCUAAGUACCCCGAGGAAAAGAAAUCAACCGAGAUUCCCCCAGUAGCGGCGAGCGAACGGGGAGCAGCCCGGAGUCUGAAUCAGCUUGUGUGUUAGUGGAACGGUCUGGAAAGUCCGACGGUACAGGGUGAUAGUCCCGUACACGAAAAUGCACAUGCUGUGAACUCGAAGAGUAGGGCGGGACACGUGGUAUCCUGUCUGAAUAUGGGGGGACCAUCCUCCAAGGCUAAAUACUCCUGACUGACCGAUAGUGAACCAGUACCGUGAGGGAAAGGCGAAAAGAACCCCGGCGAGGGGAGUGAAAAAGAACCUGAAACCGUGUACGUACAAGCAGUGGGAGCCUCUUUAUGGGGUGACUGCGUACCUUUUGUAUAAUGGGUCAGCGACUUAUAUUCUGUAGCAAGGUUAACCGUAUAGGGGAGCCGAAGGGAAACCGAGUCUUAACUGGGCGUUAAGUUGCAGGGUAUAGACCCGAAACCCGGUGAUCUAGCCAUGGGCAGGUUGAAGGUUGGGUAACACUAACUGGAGGACCGAACCGACUAAUGUUGAAAAAUUAGCGGAUGACCUGUGGCUGGGGGUGAAAGGCCAAUCAAACCGGGAGAUAGCUGGUUCUCCCCGAAAGCUAUUUAGGUAGCGCCUCGUGAACUCAUCUUCGGGGGUAGAGCACUGUUUCGGCUAGGGGGCCAUCCCGGCUUACCAACCCGAUGCAAACUACGAAUACCGAAGAAUGUUAUCACGGGAGACACACGGCGGGUGCUAACGUCCGUCGUGAAGAGGGAAACAACCCAGACCGCCAGCUAAGGUCCCAAAGUCAUGGUUAAGUGGGAAACGAUGUGGGAAGGCACAGACAGCCAGGAUGUUGGCUUAGAAGCAGCCAUCAUUUAAAGAAAGCGUAAUAGCUCACUGGUCGAGUCGGCCUGCGCGGAAGAUGUAACGGGGCUAAACCAUGCACCGAAGCUGCGGCAGCGACACUUAUGUGUUGUUGGGUAGGGGAGCGUUCUGUAAGCCGUUGAAGGUGUGCUGUGAGGCAUGCUGGAGGUAUCAGAAGUGCGAAUGCUGACAUAAGUAACGAUAAAGCGGGUGAAAAGCCCGCUCGCCGGAAGACCAAGGGUUCCUGUCCAACGUUAAUCGGGGCAGGGUGAGUCGACCCCUAAGGCGAGGCCGAAAGGCGUAGUCGAUGGGAAACAGGUUAAUAUUCCUGUACUUGGUGUUACUGCGAAGGGGGGACGGAGAAGGCUAUGUCAGCCGGGCGACGGUUGUCCCGGUUUAAGCAUGUAGGCGGAGGUUCCAGGUAAAUCCGGUACCUUGUUAACGCUGAGGUGUGAUGACGAGGCACUACGGUGCUGAAGUGAUAAAUGCCCUGCUUCCAGGAAAAGCCUCUAAGCAUCAGGUAACACGAAAUCGUACCCCAAACCGACACAGGUGGUCAGGUAGAGAAUACCAAGGCGCUUGAGAGAACUCGGGUGAAGGAACUAGGCAAAAUGGUGCCGUAACUUCGGGAGAAGGCACGCUGAUGUGUAGGUGAAGCCCCUGCGGGUGGAGCUGAAAUCAGUCGAAGAUACCAGCUGGCUGCAACUGUUUAUUAAAAACACAGCACUGUGCAAACACGAAAGUGGACGUAUACGGUGUGACGCCUGCCCGGUGCCGGAAGGUUAAUUGAUGGGGUUAGCGGCAACGCGAAGCUCUUGAUCGAAGCCCCGGUAAACGGCGGCCGUAACUAUAACGGUCCUAAGGUAGCGAAAUUCCUUGUCGGGUAAGUUCCGACCUGCACGAAUGGCGUAAUGAUGGCCAGGCUGUCUCCACCCGAGACUCAGUGAAAUUGAACUCGCUGUGAAGAUGCAGUGUACCCGCGGCAAGACGGAAAGACCCCGUGAACCUUUACUAUAGCUUGACACUGAACACUGGUCCUUGAUGUGUAGGAUAGGUGGGAGGCUUUGAAGCGUGGACGCCAGUCUGCGUGGAGCCAACCUUGAAAUACCACCCUUUAAUGGCUGGUGUUCUAACGUAGACCCGUAAUCCGGGUUGCGGACAGUGUCUGGUGGGUAGUUUGACUGGGGCGGUCUCCUCCCAAAGAGUAACGGAGGAGCACGAAGGUUGGCUAAUCCUGGUCGGACAUCAGGAGGUUAGUGCAAUGGCAUAAGCCAGCUUGACUGCGAGCGUGACGGCGCGAGCAGGUGCGAAAGCAGGUCAUAGUGAUCCGGUGGUUCUGAAUGGAAGGGCCAUCGCUCAACGGAUAAAAGGUACUCCGGGGAUAACAGGCUGAUACCGCCCAAGAGUUCAUAUCGACGGCGGUGUUUGGCACCUCGAUGUCGGCUCAUCACAUCCUGGGGCUGAAGUAGGUCCCAAGGGUAUGGCUGUUCGCCAUUUAAAGUGGUACGCGAGCUGGGUUUAGAACGUCGUGAGACAGUUCGGUCCCUAUCUGCCGUGGGCGCUGGAGAAUUGAGGGGGGCUGCUCCUAGUACGAGAGGACCGGAGUGGACGCAUCACUGGUGUUCGGGUUGUCAUGCCAAUGGCACUGCCCGGUAGCUAAAUGCGGAAGAGAUAAGUGCUGAAAGCAUCUAAGCACGAAACUUGCCCCGAGAUGAGUUCUCCCUGAGACUUUAAGUCUCCUGAAGGAACGUUAAAGACUAUGACGUUGAUAGGUCGGGUGUGUAAGCGCAGCGAUGCGUUGAGCUAACCGAUACUAAUGAACCGUGAGGCUUAACCUU